rnacentral:rRNA from 1 species
GACGAACGCUGGCGGCGUGCUUAACACAUGCAAGUCGAACGGAAAGGCCUCUUUCGGGGGGUACUCGAGUGGCGAACGGGUGAGUAACACGUGAGUAACCUGCCCUUGACUUUGGGAUAACUUCAGGAAACUGGGGCUAAUACCGGAUAGGAGCUCCUGCUGCAUGGUGGGGGUUGGAAAGUUUCGGCGGUUGGGGAUGGACUCGCGGCUUAUCAGCUUGUUGGUGGGGUAGUGGCUUACCAAGGCUUUGACGGGUAGCCGGCCUGAGAGGGUGACCGGCCACAUUUGGACUGGGAUACGGCCCAGACUCCUACGGGAGGCAGCAGUGGGGAAUAUUGCACAAUGGGUGGAAGCCUGAUGCAGCAACGCCGUGUGCGGGAUGACGGCCUUCGGGUUGUAAACCGCUUUCGCUCAUGACGAAGCUUUGUGUGACGGUAGUGGGUAAAGAAGCACCGGCUAACUACGUG